rnacentral:sRNA from 1 species
CCAACUACCUCACAUUGCUGCUGUGAUUUUCCCAUCAUGCUCUCAAACUGAGCCCAAACCUUCCUCUCUUCAUGCGCUUUUGUCGGGCAUUCUGUCAAACAACAGGAAAAGAAACAAAUGCAAAAACCAUUACCUAAUACUCUCUUAAAAUCUUUACAAACCAUGGAACUGAGUGCUGAACUUGUUCUGAGUUCAAGGGCGAGGCACCAUGUGUAUGGACUACGUAAGUCUGGAGGAUUUCAGGACUCGUUUGGCUGGAUGUGCCGGCCUCUGCUUUCUCUUUGGUACUCACAAUGGCUCUUUAUUGAUGAUGAGAUAUUUGACACUGAGUGUUUUACCCUGUUAAGAAUAUGACUCAUUCAAUUCAGUCAUUCAGUUUCAUCUCUCACGAUUCUUUCGCAUCUGUGUGCGCCUCCCGUAUCUCCAUGGUAACCAUUGCUGAGUCCUCUGGGUUCUAUCUUCUGAAUACUCUACGAUGCUUAAUCUUGGUUGCCUACUUGUUUGGAUUAAAAGCCAUCAAGAAAACUGACACAUCACACUUCUAGGCAUGGACAUGAGAGUGUUUUUCAAAGAGAAUUAUCAUACAGAUCAGUGACUCUGGGGGUGUGUGUGGAGGAGGAGCUGCCCUUGAAGACUGUGAGAGAUCCGGAAUGAUCCCUGGAGGCUGCCUGUCCAGAAGCUGGGAUCCUAAAGACAAGGCAGCACACUCCAUAGAUGACUGAUUCUGAUUUCUCCACUGGCUAAUCUGAGGACAACACAACAGACAUCAAGAGGGAGAAGUACAGUGGACUUCAACUCCUACAAGGGCC